GGGCAGAUAGCUCAACGGUAGAGCAGGUGCCUUUUAAGCACUUGGUUCAGGGUUCGAAUCCCUGUCUGCCCACAA
rnacentral:tRNA from 2 species